UACGGAGGGUGCUAGCGUUGUUCGGAAUCACUGGGCGUAAAGCGCGUGUAGGCGGUCCGGUAAGUCCGCUGUGAAAGUCGAGGGCUCAACCCUCGAAUGCCGGUGGAUACUGUCGGGCUAGAGUGCGGAAGAGGCGAGUGGAAUUCCUGGUGUAGCGGUGAAAUGCGCAGAUAUCAGGAGGAACACCUAUUGCGAAGGCAGCUCGCUGGGACGUUACUGACGCUGAGACGCGAAAGCGUGGGGAGCAAACAGG
rnacentral:rRNA from 1 species